rnacentral:rRNA from 1 species
CCAAGGAGUCUAACAUGUGCGCAAGUCAUGGGGUUUUCCUCUACGAAACCUUAUAAAGGCACAAUGAAAGUGAAGGCAGCCUCGGGUUUGCCUAGGUAGGAUCCCUCGUCCUUCCGCGGCGGGGGCGCACUACCGGCCCGUCUCGUUCGCAUUGCGUCGAAGAGGCGGAGCAAGAGCGUACACGUUGGGACCCGAAAGAUGGUGAACUAUGCCUGAGUAGGACGAAGCCAGAGGAAACUCUGGUGGAGGUCCGUAGCGAUUCUGACGUGCAAAUCGAUCGUCAAAUUUGGGUAUAGGGGCGAAAGACUAAUCGAACCAUCUA